UUGCCUUACUCUCAGCUCAUAGGUUCCGUUGCUUGGCAGGGGAAUGGCAACUGUGAAAGCAAGGAUGGGCACCAACUGGGCGUCGCUGCAUGAUGAUAUGCUCGAGUUGAUCGCCGACCGGGUUCUAGCUGGCGACUUGCUGGACUACGUCUGGUUCCGCGCCGUGUGCAAGACGUGGCGUGCUGCAACUCCUUGCCUGGUCGGCCGUGGCGUGGUUGAACCGCGCUUUCACCCGCGCCAAUGGACGAUGUUUCCGGAGGGUAAUGGGCUUUACCCUGGCCACCCUGCAUUGGACGGCUACGUACGUUUUCUCAAUGUCGACACUGGCGUCUUCCUCCGCGUGCACCUCCCGUGCUUCAAGGACCACUCCGUUCUCGACUGCCCUGAAGGCCUCCUCCUCCUGCAGCGCCAUAAGGAUGCUGCCAUCUGUCUCCGAAACCCCUUCACAGGUGAUGUUGUUGAGUUUCCACCUCUUGCCUCCCUAGCCCUGUACGUGAACAAGUUUCGGAACUUCCUGAGCGGCAGUUAUGAUUUUCGACGACGGAUGGUCCAUGCAGCUGUCUCCAUCCAUGCGGGCGGCACUGUCACUGUGAUGCUUGCACUCAGCCACCUCGAGCGCGUGGCAUACGCAUCCAUUGGUGACCGGCAGUGAACUUACACGAGCUGGAUGAUGAGUGGCAUAAGGACCGCAUUGCAUUCCUUGGCAGCCUGUACGUGGUGAGGGGCUCAAAGAACGAGCCAUCGCACAUCAUGCGCAUCGAUCCACCAGAGAGCUCCAGUUCCUCCUCAUGGCAUGAUACUCCUCCGCAAAUGGUUGUGACUUGUCCAGCCGAGCAGAUGACCAAGCCAUACCUGGUAGAGUGCAAUUCCGAGCUUCUUCUGGUUGGCUUCACGCUUACAAAGUCUCGGCUUCUGGUUCUCCGGCUCACUGACGUCCUGCUUGGAGUCCCUGCCAUGCCAUUGACAAGCAUCGGCGGCUACGCCAUCUUCAUCGGCACUUGGAGCAUGACGGUCAAUUCCAAGAACUUACCGUCCGUCCAGGGGAACUCCAUCGCUGUCCUCAACCCAUUUAAUGGUGGCCAAUUGGCGAAGUACGAUCUGGGCAGAGGUGCCUGGUCAUGGUUGUGCGAUGGAAACUUCAGCAGCGCCUGCGGUUCCAUACCGAGGCCAUACAGUCUCGUGCACCAUGUCGUCAGCUGCUGCCAGCGUCUUUUCUGGAUAACUGGGAACAUCUGGCACCGCCACCAUUCAUGUAAUCCUUGUUGGCCAAGUGUUGCCGGGGCACAUAUAAGAGUUUGUGCACGAUGCGCUGUUUGGAUAAAAUUACUCCGUCGUUCCGGUAGCUACAUCUGAAAGAUGUCUUUGCUUUGCUGGUUAUCCCAUAGCUUUACCCGGACCGAAACACAUGGCUGCUGAAGGUUCAGGCUUUAAGCAACGAUGGAUCCUCUCUUGUGAUGACAUUUCAGUCUCCUCGUGGUUGCUUUUGGAUGAGUUUAGAAAUAUAUGAUUCCUUUGAACUGUGUACCUGUAAGACCGAGAAACAGUGUUUCAAUUCCUUUGAACCUUGUACCUGCUCAACCGAGAAACAUUAACUCUUGAUGAUGCUCAGCUGCUGGUGACUUGCAUCUUUUCAGGCCAGGUGCCCAAACUCGUAAUGCAACAGAGUUCUGCUCACCAUGUUCCA